rnacentral:rRNA from 1 species
UACGUAGGCGGAAAAUUAAGUCAGUAGUGAAAUCCUGCAGCUUAACUGUAGAACUGUUAUUGAUAUUGGUUUUCUUGAAUAUAGUUGAGGUAGGCGGAAUGUGUAAUGUAGCGGUGAAAUGCUUAGAUAUUACACAGAACACCGAUUGCGAAGGCAGCUUACUAAGCUAUGAUUGACGCUGAGGUACGAAAGCGUGGGGAGCGAACAGGAUUAGAUACCCUGGUAGUCC